rnacentral:rRNA from 1 species
CCUACGGGAUGCAGCAGUGAGGACUAUUGGUCAAUGGACGAGAGUCUGAACCAGCCAAGUAGCGUGAAGGAUGACUGCCCUAUGGGUUGUAAACUUCUUUUAUAAAGGAAUAAAACGAGGCACGUGUGCCUUUUUGCAUGUACUUUAUGAAUAAGGAUCGGCUAACUCCGUGCCAGCAGCCGCGGUAAUACGGUGGAUCCGAGCGUUAUCCGGAUUUAUUGGGUUUAAAGGGAGCGUAGAUGGUUUGUUAAGUCCGUUGUGAAAUUUUGCGGCUCAACCGUAAAAUUGCAAUUGAUACUGGCAGUCUUGAGUACAGUUGAGGUAGGCGGAAUUCGUGGUGUAGCGGUGAAAUGCUUAGAUAUCACGAAGAACCCCGAUUGCGAAGGCAGCUUACUAAACUGUGACUGACAUUGAUGCUCGAAAGUGUGGGUAUCAAACAGGAUUAGAUACCCGAGUAGUC